ACUCCUACGGGAGGCAGCAGUGGGGAAUAUUGCACAAUGGGCGCAAGCCUGAUGCAGCCAUGCCGCGUGUGUGAAGAAGGCCUUAGGGUUGUAAAGCACUUUCAAUUGGGAAGAAAAGCUAAAGGUUAAUAACCUUUAGCCCUGACAUUACCUUUAGAAGAAGCACCGGCUAACUCCGUGCCAGCAGCCGCGGUAA
rnacentral:rRNA from 1 species